rnacentral:rRNA from 1 species
CCCUUAGAUGUUCUGGGCCGCACGCGUGCUACACUGAGUGGAUCAGCGGGUCAGGUUACGCGAGAGCGUUUCCUAAUCUUCAAAUCCGCUCGUGAUGGGGAUUGACGGUUGCAAUUUUCCGUCAUGAACGAGGAAUACCUUGUAAGCGCGGGUCAUCGUCCCGCGCUGAAUACGUCCCUGCCCUUUGUACACACCGCCCGUCGCUCCUACCGAUUGAGUGGUCCGGUGAGGCUUUGGGAUCUAAGCGAAAAGUGCGUUUCGCUCCUUUUGCUGGGAGAACUCAGUCGAACCUUAUCAUUUAGAGGAAGGAGAAGUCGUAACA